rnacentral:rRNA from 1 species
GAUGAACGCUAGCGGCAGGCUUAACACAUGCAAGUCGAGGGGCAGCACGGGUAGCAAUACUCGGUGGCGACCGGCGCAAGGGUGCGUAACGCGCGAGCAACAUGCCCGUAUCAGGGGGAUAAUCCAUGGAAACGUGGUCUAAUACCCCAUAGUAAGUUUUUGGGGCAUCUCAAAGAUUUUAAAGCUUUGGUGGAUACGGAUUGGCUCGCGUGACAUUAGCUAGAUGGUAAGGUAACGGCUUACCAUGGCUACGAUGUCUAGGGGUUCUGAGAGGAAGGUCCCCCACACUGGAACUGAGACACGGUCCAGACUCCUACGGGAGGCAGCAGUGAGGAAUAUUGGACAAUGGAUGGAAAUCUGAUCCAGCCAUGCCGCGUGCAGGAAGACGGCCCUAUGGGUUGUAAGCUGCUUUUGUAUGGGAGCAAUAAGAUCUACGCGUAGAUUGAUGAGAGUACCAUACGAAUAAGCACCGGCUAACUCCGUGCCAGCCGCCGCCGUAAUAC